rnacentral:rRNA from 1 species
GACGAACGCUGGCGGCGUGCUUAACACAUGCAAGUCGAACGGAAAGGCCUCUUUCGGGGGGUACUCGAGUGGCGAACGGGUGAGUAACACGUGAGUAACCUGCCCUUGACUUUGGGAUAACUUCAGGAAACUGGGGCUAAUACCGGAUAGGAGCUCCUGCUGCAUGGUGGGGGUUGGAAAGUUUCGGCGGUUGGGGAUGGACUCGCGGCUUAUCAGCUUGUUGGUGGGGUAGUGGCUUACCAAGGCUUUGACGGGUCGCCGGCCUGAGAGGGUGACCGGCCACAUUGGGACUGAGAUACGGCCCAGACUCCUACGGGAGGCAGCAGUGGGGAAUAUUGCACAAUGGGUGGAAGCCUGAUGCAGCAACGCCGUGUGCGGGAUGACGGCCUUCGGGUUGUAAACCGCUUUCGCUCAUGACGAAGCUUUGUGUGACGGUAGUGGGUAAAGAAGCACCGGCUAACUACGUG